AACGAACGCUGGCGGCAUGCCUAACACAUGCAAGUCGAACGAGACCUUCGGGUCUAGUGGCGCACGGGUGCGUAACACGUGGGAAUUUGCCUCGGGGUAGUGGAAUAACUCAGGGAAACUUGAGCUAAUACCAUAUAAUGUCUUCGGACCAAAGAUUUAUCGCCCUGAGAUAAGCCCGCGUAGGAUUAGCUAGUUGGUGGGGUAAAGGCUCACCAAGGCGACGAUCCUUAGCUGGUCUGAGAGGAUGAUCAGCCACACUGGGACUGAGACACGGCCCAGACUCCUACGGGAGGGCAGCAGUGGGGAA
rnacentral:rRNA from 1 species